UUCUGGUUCUCCUCCUGCAGCUGCAGGGCCCUCUGCUGGGUCAGCAGGACCCGCCGCCGGGCCUUGUCCCGGCUCUUCCUCACGGCGAUGUUGUUCUUCUCCCGUCUCUGGCGGUACUCGGCGCUGUCCUUGCUGAUGACCCUCUUGGAGACGGGGGCCCGGAGGGACGGCAGCAGGAAGGGGGAGAAGUCCUGGAGCCAAGAGGAGACGUUUGUUUGACAGAGACGAGACAGGAAGUGGACGGCGUCUCUGCGUCUGAGCUCACCUGCUGAGCGUUGAUCUGAUGGUGGCUCGACCCGCCGGAGCCGGACGUGUAGGACAGGAACGCCACCUGCUCCCUGUCCUCAGCGCCCCCCCUCAUGAUCCCCUGACACUGACUGUAGGACAUCAUGUCCAUCGGGGACAUCUGGUUGGUCGGGGCCCCCUGGUUGGAGGAGCUCAGAACCUGACCGUGGACCUGACCCGGGUACGAGGACCCCCACUCCUGGAUGACGGAGGACACCCUGGAAUCAGACAUCUGGGACGAGGGGUCAAAGGAUUUAAUCGAGAGAGAUUUACCGAAAGCUGUUCAACUCCUGAAUGAUCUCACUGAGCAGGUAACUUCAGUUACAAGUCAUGUCCGCGAGCUGCUGACGAAAGUCAAAGAUGGGGCUUUCAACACAUCAAAGG